rnacentral:piRNA from 1 species
CAGCAGUUGGGGUCUGGUCAGCAGGGGU